GACGAACGCUGGCGGCGUGCCUAAUACAUGCAAGUAGAACGCACAGUUUAUACCGUAGCUUGCUACACCAUAGACUGUGAGUUGCGAACGGGUGAGUAACGCGUAGGUAACCUGCCUGGUAGCGGGGGAUAACUAUUGGAAACGAUAGCUAAUACCGCAUAAUAUUAAUUAUUGCAUGAUAAUUAAUUGAAAGGUGCAAUUGCACCACUACCAGAUGGACCUGCGUUGUAUUAGCUAGUAGGUGAGGUGACGGCUCACCUAGGCGACGAUACAUAGCCGACCUGAGAGGGUGAUCGGCCACACUGGGACUGAGACACGGCCCAGACUCCUACGGGAGGCAGCAGUAGGGAAUCUUCGGCAAUGGACGAAAGUCUGACCGAGCAACGCCGCGUGAGUGAAGAAGGUUUUCGGAUCGUAAAGCUCUGUUGUAAGAGAAGAAACCGGGUGUGAAGAAG
rnacentral:rRNA from 1 species